GCAGUCUCACGCUCCAUAGGCUCCAAUACAAAUCUGCCGACAUAUUUCUCAAGAAAACCAGAAGGUCUCCAAUUGAAAAUCAACAUGGCACAGAUUCCUGCCCUCUUCCACCCUGGCACCAGGCUUGUCCUUUUUAUUUUUGGCAGGAACAGACUGGCUACUGUAGGCUGCAAAAGAUCACAACAGUGACUGCCACGGCUGACAGAAAACCGCCAACCAAGUGCCAAUUCAAAAACCAGAAGAUGACACAACGUUUUUCAAGUCUAUGAACUGCUUCAACAUUCAGGAAGAUAUUGUAAAGACAUGUAUAUUGCACAGACAAAACCGGAUAAUAUAUAAGCUCCUUUUGCAUCCAUUGAGACACCAAAUGAAUAGCGCUGGUUAAGAUAGAUUUAUUUUUCCAUUGAUUCCGUUUCUCAACAGCAUGCAUUAGUUCUCUUGAGGUGGUUUUAAAUAGAUGUAUUUAAUAGAAAGAGGAUUGUGAAGUGUUGGAGGGAUGUCACUUGUGCAGAAUUGGAUUUGUUGAAGCAAAAGAUGAAGGACGUGUGUGAUGAAAGCAAUACCGCCAUAUUAGAAAAAAGCCACUGUACUCAAGGUUCUUUUUCACGCUCAGAAAUCAACAUAUGUGUACAUGACUGUUUUUUUUCUUCUUCUUGAGUUAGUCUCAGUUGACUCAAGAACGAAACCCGUCCCCUUUUGUUUUGUGCAUCAUUUUAUCUUUUUUCAAAAGUGCCUCCUAAUAAAACGCUUGGCCGCUUCACCUUACGUCAAAUGAGUUAAAACCUAUUUUAAAAAAGUUGAAGAAAUGGUGCGCCACCUGUGUAUGAUUUUAUUUAAUAUCCAGUACACAGGAAAUCAUUAUCAUUUGCUCUACCAAUAACCCCCGUAGUAUAAGGCGCACACAUAUUUGUGUUUGAUAUCCUGAUACAAGUUGUACUCUGAUAUUUUAGCAGCCUCUUUUACUUGUCUGUGUUAUGGAAAUGUUAUGCAUGCUUUAGUGUACUUUCGUUUUGGUUUCCUUGUUUGGCUGAAUGUUUCUGGGAUUUUGUUGGAGAACGAGUGUUUGUGUAUACAGCGUGUGUGCCCAUUUAAUUUUAAAUGUUGCUCUUUUCCCUAAACUGCAAUCUCACAAUUCUGCUCAUUGAACUAUUGUAAUUUUGCCUAAUGUACAAGGAGAUGAAAUACUGGUGUAUAUUUUUGAUGCCAACAAAAGUCGUCUCCUGUAGUGAGUUCUUCUAAAAUAUGACUUUUUUUUCCAAUA
ensembl:lncRNA